AGUGAACGCUGGCGGUAGGCCUAACACAUGCAAGUCGAACGGCAGCACAGUAAGAGCUUGCUCUUACGGGUGGCGAGUGGCGGACGGGUGAGGAAUACAUCGGAAUCUACUUUUUCGUGGGGGAUAACGUAGGGAAACUUACGCUAAUACCGCAUACGACCUACGGGUGAAAGCAGGGGAUCUUCGGACCUUGCGCGAUUGAAUGAGCCGAUGUCGGAUUAGCUAGUUGGCGGGGUAAAGGCCCACCAAGGCGACGAUCCGUAGCUGGUCUGAGGGGAUGAUCAGCCACACUGGAACUGAGACACGGACCAGACGCCUACGGGAGGCAGCAGUGGGGAAUAUUGGACAAUGGGCGCAAGCAUGAUCCAGCCAUACCGCGUGGGUGAAGAAGGCCUUCGGGUUGUAAAGCCCUUUUGUUGGGAAAGAAAAGCAGCAGGUUAAUACCCCGCUGUUCUGACGGUACCCAAAGAAUAAGCACCGGCUAACUUCGUG
rnacentral:rRNA from 1 species